rnacentral:rRNA from 1 species
AGAGUUUGAUCAUGGCUCAGAAUCAACGCUGGCGGCGUGCCUAACACAUGCAAGUCGCACGAGAAAGCAGACUUCGGUCUGUGAGUAAAGUGGCGCACGGGUGAGUAACACGUGACUAACCUACCCUCGAGUGGGGAAUAACUCGUCGAAAGGCGAGCUAAUACCGCAUAACACUUACGAGUCAAAGCAGCAAUGCGCUU